rnacentral:siRNA from 1 species
UGAGCCGCGCCAAUAUCC